UACGUAGGGGGCGAGCGUUGUCCGGAAUCAUUGGGCGUAAAGCGCGUGUAGGCGGCCCGAUAAGUCCGCUGUGAAAGUCCAGGGCUCAACCCUGGGAUGCCGGUGGAUACUGUCGGGCUCGAGUCCGGAAGAGGCGAGUGGAAUUCCUGGUGUAGCGGUGAAAUGCGCAGAUAUCAGGAGGAACACCAAUGGCGAAGGCAGCUCGCUGGGACGUGACUGACGCUGAGACGCGAAGGCGUGGGGAGCAAACAGG
rnacentral:rRNA from 1 species